CUUCUCGGUCGUCUCACUACUCAUCGUCGUGUAUUCGGCAUUCGGAAUUCGAGCAGACCGCUACUUGCCAAUAAUCUCUCAUACACCUACAACACCGCCAGUCGAAGAUCACUGGACCUGCACUUAAACGACCAUACCAGCGCCAAGAUGCCGUCGAAAAAGUGUGAAAUCGUCCGAGGAAUGGUUAUCAUCAAGCGUUAAGGACACUGACAAAAUCGGACAAAUACAUGGACUCGACCGGACCAGAAUCAGGAAAAGUAUUAUGGAUUUUUGAACGCCACCUGCACGAUGACGGAUACCUCCGCGAUGACUCGGCGGCAACGGAAACCACGUCAUCAAAAUAUAAUAAUUACCAUGUAAUAAUAAUAAUUGUUGUUGUUAUUACUAUUGCGACCGAUUUGCUGUAAGUCGGCGGCGUCUUUCCCACUACAAUAUUAUUAUUAUGUAGCCUCGCACAAUGAGCAAUAAAAAUUAAUACCACCGGUUCAAAUGGCUCUGUUAAAAUGUCCCGUUUACGACGGCGUUAUCAGUGUUUAAACGGUUGUUAUUACGAGCCAUUUUGUACCAUACAUACAUAUAACAUAAUAUAUUAUUACACAUACAUAUCACCGCCGUGAGGAGUAAGUAUAUAUGUGUGUGUGUGUGUGUGUUUUUAUUUCUAGACUUUAUUAUUUUCUUUACAGCGUACCGUUUAAGAUUAUUACUAUUUUUUUUUUUUUUUUUUUAUAUUUUUAUUAUUGGUUGUAUACACUUAUUAUUAUUAUUAUUAUAUUUACUACGAGCAUAAAUCCCGCUUACAAUGAUUUCAAUACGACUAAUUUUUAUAUAUUUUUUAUUGUAUUUUAAACGGACAGGUUUAUCGGUUUACUGCGUUUUUAUUUUUAUGUCUGUGUACAUAAUAUGCGUAUUAAAACAUAAUAAUAAUAACUGUGUACAUGAAGAGAAAUAAUAUUUUACACACAUCAAAAUAUGACAAAUAUAAUAAAAUAACUAUUUAAUAUAAUUAUAACAACAAUAUUUGUACGCCUAACGAUUUAAAUUGGACCACAUUAUAUUACUACUAAAAUAUCGUAUUAAACCAAAUCCUGCCGUUUAAUAUAUAGGUAUGCCGCGAAUAACCUAACUUUCAAUAUACCUACAAAUGUUUAUAGGAUUUAUCCAACUAAGUACUUACAAAAUGAAAUUGUCAAAAACUACUAUAACUCUGACUAUUAUUAUCAUGUAAACUUAGUAGGUAUUUAUAUUUAUAAUAUUUAUUUUACUGUCUUUUUUUUCCCAAUUAAUUGUAUUCAUUGUCUUCUAUAUUGUGCAUAAAUAUUAUUUAAUAUUCAUCAUUAGUUUUUAUGGCUCAUGCAUGGCUACUAUUCCCAGACGAUUAUAAUUAUAUAUUUUUAUUACCUCAUAAGUAUUUUUAAUACUAAUUAAAAUCAUAUUCAAAUAUACAAUGUUAAUUAUCGUUCGUCUAUAAAUAGGAAAACUAAAAAAUUAAAUAUAAUUUGAUGUACUUGUACGAAUCAAUUCAGACACCUUUUUAUGCUUAUUUA